GACUGCAGAAGGGGGAUUAAAAGCCUCACCCUUUUGCUACUUCAGGAAGAUCAUGGGCAGCAGGCUUGUCUGCUGUGCAGCCUUUUGCCUCUUGGCAGCAGGUUCUUUUGAAGCCGAAGUUACCCAGACUCCAGGACAUCUAGUCAAGGGGAAAGGACAGAAAGCAAAGAUGGAUUGCAUCCCCCAGAAAGGACACAAUUUUGUUUACUGGUAUCAACAAAGCCAGAAUAAGGAGCUUAAGUUUUUGAUUUCCUUUCAGUACAAACAAGUUCUUGAUCAAACGGAGAUGUACAAGGAGCGAUUCUCAGCUGAAUGCCCCUCCAACUCACCCUGCAGCCUGGAAAUCCCAUCCCCUCAACCAGGAGACUCAGCACUGUAUUUCUGUGCCAGCAGUGAAUCCACAGCGCUGAAAUGUCAGUUCCUCUUAGUGCACAAACUCAGCAUGGACCCAACUCAGGAAGCAGGUGAUGUAUUCAUUUGGAAGGAAGUAACAGAAAUGAACUGGACCUAGCUUAAGCCACUGUGGAAUUUAACACAAGGCUAAAAGUUGUUUAACAGAAGUCAAGAAAUGAUGGGCAGGCAAUUCUGUUACAGCGCUUCUUGGGCCAGGCUCUGGAAGGGCCGUGUCUUCAGCUCUCAUUUUUCUUCCAUUUUGGCUGCUUCAAGCUUUUCCAUGCACAUGGUAUCUUUGUCUCUAGUUCUCAUAAAGAGAAUAAGAUGAUCA